GCGAACGGGUGAGUAACACGUGGGCAAUCUGCCCUUCACUCUGGGACAAGCCCUGGAAACGGGGUCUAAUACCGGAUAACACUGCGGAUCGCAUGGUCUGCGGUUAAAAGCUCCGGCGGUGAAGGAUGAGCCCGCGGCCUAUCAGCUUGUUGGUGAGGUAAUGGCUCACCAAGGCGACGACGGGUAGCCGGCCUGAGAGGGCGACCGGCCACACUGGGACUGAGACACGGCCCAGACUCCUACGGGAGGCAGCAGUGGGGAAUAUUGCACAAUGGGCGAAAGCCUGAUGCAGCGACGCCGCGUGAGGGAUGACGGCCUUCGGGUUGUAAACCUCUUUCAGCAGGGAAGAAGCGAAAGUGACGGUACCUGCAGAAGAAGCGCCGGCUAACUACGUGCCAGCAGCCGCGGUAAUACGUAGGGCGCAAGCGUUGUCCGGAAUUAUUGGGCGUAAAGAGCUCGUAGGCGGCUUGUCACGUCGAUUGUGAAAGCCCGAGGCUUAACCUCGGGUCUGCAGUCGAUACGGGCUAGCUAGAGUGUGGUAGGGGAGAUCGGAAUUCCUGGUGUAGCGGUGAAAUGCGCAGAUAUCAGGAGGAACACCGGUGGCGAAGGCGGAUCUCUGGGCCAUUACUGACGCUGAGGAGCGAAAGCGUGGGGAGCGAACAGGAUUAGAUACCCUGGUAGUCCA
rnacentral:rRNA from 2 species